AACGGACGCCCACGGGGGCCGGUGCCGGCAGAGGCUGCCGACGGCGGCUCGUCGGGGCCGCCGGUGCCGCCGGUGCCCGUCGGGGCCGGCAGCCCGUGUCCAGCCACGGCCCAGCACGUGCCUGUGAUGCACGAAAGCGGUGACGGGGCCCACGGCCCCGGGGGAAGGCGGAGCCGGACCGCCCCGCCCCCUGGCGAGGCCGUGAGAAUUAAGGGCCCACGGCGGUCGCCAAGUGUCAGGGGUCACUGUUUCAGCGGUUCAUAAAAGUCUUACCUUCCCAGAGGACACAUUUUUAUAUAUGGCGCCUGAUUUAUCCUGGCUCCUGGGCCUGCAGGUUGGAAUUUGUGUCACGAAUGCAUGUCAGGAAUUCACAAAAAGAACGUUUCGAUCGCCACGAACUGAAAGGAGAAUUUAAAUAUGCACCUGGCUGGCACACCUGACUCACCCCGCCAUGGAAACCCGCACUUCUCUGUUCUGCUUUUCAAUAAGGGUCCCUAGAGAACAUGGGAUGGACGAUCCCGCCUGACGGAAGGGGGAGGAAAGCCAGUCUCCUGUGGGCGUGGAGGGGUCUGUUUUGAGAAGACAAAGACAGUGAAGUGUGAGGACGAAACCCGUAACGAGCAGAGAGAGCUACAGGGUCCGCCAGCAGAACUCCACGCGAUGUUGACACUGCGGCGCUAGAGGGGUGCCCCUCCAGCCUCAGUGUGGACAUCUCUGGAUUUAGCCAUCAGAGAGGGCUUAUCCCCAAAUUCCCUGCCAAGUUUCAGACGAGGCACAUCUGGCCUGACGACUCGGCAGACAGAAGAAAACACCAGCCGAGGGGCCCGGAAGCCAGGGCUCGGGGCGCACCCCAGAUCCUCGCUGCCCCGGGCACGGGGGUCCUCGCUGAUCUAAGGCUCAUCACCUACAUCCGCAUUGCUGUAAGGCUGGCGAGGAGGCACGGUCACGGCACAGAUGCGCUGCCCGACGUGCAGUCAGACCAACCCUCAGUCAGGGACCAGCUCAGCUCCGUUUCUGCCACGUCCACGUCCACGUCCACGUCGUGAGUGCGCAGGCCUCCCCGGGCACAGCUCCGACCCCAACACUUUUCUGACCAAGAGUGCUCCGUGGCUGCCCACUAACUGCUGCUUAUGCACGAGCUGUGUGGCCUGCCUGCCACGUUCUCCCGUACACCCUGCGUCCCCUGAAACAGGCCUCUUCUUGUCCCCAAACAGGCCAUGCUGCUCUCUGGGCCUCUGCCUUUUCACCCCUCCUGUCCAGAGCGUCUGUCCUCAGCUCCACCGGUCAGACUCCAGCCACGUGGCCUCCCCAGUGGCCGCGUUAUCCUUCAGGCCCCCCCCCCACCCCCGACAGCGUCAGCCAGGAAGUCUAGGUCUGCUCCCAGCACUUGGCAGGUCUCACGUGGAGAUGCCCCCUACACAGUCCUUGGCGCACUGACUCUCGGCUCCUGUGGGAUCCCGAGGGCCCAGGCCUCAGACCGCUUCCCUUCCCUGGGGUCUUCCGGGAUCUUCCAUAGCAGCUGGGCGGUGCCUGGCACACACAAGGCUUAAACACACAACAAAUAAAUGGCUGAACUACGUCUCCUUAGA